ensembl:snRNA U6 U6 spliceosomal RNA
AUGCUCGCUUCAGGAGCACAUACACUAAAAUUGGAGUGAUACAGAGAAGAUUAGUAUGGCCCCUGCACAAGGACAACAGGCAAAUUAGUAAAGCAUUCCAUAUUUUG